rnacentral:ncRNA from 1 species
UUUUUUUUAUGUUUUAUACUGGAGAGAAGUGUUUGCUUUACCGGUAUAGUAAAGCGAGAGAGAAUCUAUCCUUUCUUAGGGUUCCAAGUAAUUCAACUAGUGCCAUGAAAACUAUCUUGUUGUAGAGCGAGGUAGCAGAAGAAGUUGGCACAAUAUGUAAUCCCUAGAGUAUGGGUGGUGGACUUCUUUUCCUGGAGAACAAGCAAUGAAGGUAUCUAGUCUAGGGAAUAAGCAUCGACUAACUCUAUGCUAGUAGCCGUGGUAAUGCGAGGAUGCAAGCAUUGUCUAGAAUGAUUCGGCGUGAAACGUCUGUACGAGGCUUUUCAAGUUUGCUGUCUCACAUGCGGUGGAAACUAGCAAGAUGGAGUACAGUAGGGGCAGAGGGAAUUUCUGGAGGAGCGGUGAUCAGAAAGCACAUCAACGACGAACACACUCUGAUGGGCUGACACUGACACAGAUAGACAAAAGUUAGGGAAGUGAAUGGGAUUAGAUACCCAAUCGUCCUUAGCCGUAAAUGAUUGAUACUAGGCGUUAUGCAUAUCGACCCGUGUUGUGUUGUAGCAAACGCGUCUUGACACGUAUUCUCUGCUGGAGUUCAGACCUCAACCACU